GAUUGGAAUAAGACCCAUGCCACUGCAGCUGAGCCACGAGGUCCAAAACAACCAGGUUUGGAGGCUUCUCAUAGUCGGUGAAGCUUUGGUAUCCAUUAGAGUAGUAAUCUGGUUCUGCGUCACCGGUAAAGUGGUGGUUGUGGGCCGUGAGAGCGAGGUAAAACAGCUGUUUGGCGGGCUUGGAAGGUCCGUGCAGGAUGAACCAUAGUUGAGAAGGAAAGAAAUACAAUGACAUUGCAUUUCAAUGACUUGUUUG
rnacentral:misc_RNA from 1 species